rnacentral:rRNA from 1 species
UUGGAGGGCAAGUCUGGUGCCAGCAGCCGCGGUAAUUCCAGCUCCAAUAGCGUAUAUUAAAGUUGUUGCAGUUAAAAAGCUCGUAGUUGAAUUUCGGGAUCAAUGGAUCGGUCAUGCCGUUGGUAUGUACUGGUUUUAUUGAUUCUCACCUUCUAAAGAACCAUGAUGGCAUUAAUUUGUUGUUGUGGGGAAUUAGGACUGUUACCUUGAAAAAAUUAGAGUGUUUAAAGCAGGCUUACGCUUGAAUACAUUAGCAUGGAAUAACGAAAUAGGACAUCGCAUUCUAUUUUGUUGGUUUCUAGGAUCGAUGUAAUGAUUAAUAGGGAUAGUUGGGGGCAUUAGUAUUCAAUUGUCAGAGGUGAAAUUCUUGGAUUUAUUGAAGACUAACUACUGCGAAAGCAUUUGCCAAGGAUGUUUUCAUUAAUCAAGAACGAAAGUUAGGGGAUCGAAGACGAUCAGAUACCGUCGUAGUCUUAACCAUCAACUAUGCCCACUAGGGAUCGGAUGAUGUUAAUUUUUUAAUGACUCAUCCUGCACCUUCACUGGAAAC